GAAAGCAAGUGCAAGGAAAGAAUAAAGAAAAAGCAAAGAAGAAAGGAAAAAGAGACUUGAUUGGAAAGUGGACAGCCGCGAAGAUCUGCCAUAACAGUCUUCCAAUCGGAGAGAAAUACAAACCCAGUAAGGUGUGAAGCCUUAAACAUUCAAAUCUUGUCCAACCAAGUUGAGGUGAUUAUGAAUGAGGAGACUGGAGAAAGGACGUGAAACAUGGUGGCUCCUUUAAAAAGGAUUUAUGUAAAUCUAGUGGCUAUUUG